AGUGAACGCUGGCGGUAGGCCUAACACAUGCAAGUCGAACGGCAGCACAGUAAGAGCUUGCUCUUACGGGUGGCGAGUGGCGGACGGGUGAGGAAUACAUCGGAAUCUACUUUUUCGUGGGGGAUAACGUAGGGAAACUUACGCUAAUACCGCAUACGACCUACGGGUGAAAGCAGGGGAUCUUCGGACCUUGCGCGAUUGAAUGAGCCGAUGUCGGAUUUGCUAGUUGGCGGGGUAAAGGCCCACCAAGGCGACGAUCCGUAUCUGGUCUGAGAGGAUGAUCAGCCACACUGGAACUGGGACACGGUCCAGACUCCUACGGGAGGCAGCAGUGGGGAAUAUUGGAAAAUGGGCGAAAGCCUGAUCCAGCCAUCCCGCGUGGGUGAAGAAGGCCUUCGGGUUGUAAAGCCCUUUUGUUGGGAAAGAAAAGCAGCAGGUUAAUACCCUGCUGUUCUGACGGUACCCAAAGAAUAAGCACCGGCUAACUUCGUG
rnacentral:rRNA from 1 species